UAGCGGUACAAACACUACGUUAUGCAGCUCGAUACCGCACACUGGUAUUUAUCUAAUUAUUUUCAUUCAUUAUAAGCAAAGAACUGGUUUGUAGCGCACAGUUUUAUUAUGUUUUCUGUAUUUACCCUUUAACUGUAGCGGCUGAUCAUCAAAAGUCUCAAAAGGCUGUUUGAUUAGCUUUGAUUAGUUUGUGUGAUUGUUUGUCUCUUCUAUCUAGAGUCAGUGGAGAUCAAACUGUUCAGAUCCAUCAUGGAUGAAACACAAACUUCUGGAGAUGAAGAUUUGUUUCCAGCACACAGGCUGUAGCGAGGGGGCGUGGUUCAUCCCGCUGCUUUCGGGAGAAGCAUGCACAAGCUCUCAAUCCAGUCUCUCUCGCCACCUUCCCGUUCUCCGGUGGCUUUUUAUCCGGUCUCUCCAUGCCAGUUACUGCAAUCAGACACAGGUGUUUAUCAUUUUGCACUUUACUCAGUGCUCGUCUCCCAAAUCUCUCUCCCGCUGCAGACCUCGCUGAACCACAUCUUUGCCACAUGAACUUUUAGUGUACACUACCAUUCAGAGGUUUUGGGUCUAUUUAAAAUAGAAAUAAAUUACAUUUUACUAUAUUCACACAUAAAACAGCUAUUCAAAAAAUUCAGCUUAGAUCACAGCGAUCAAUUACAUUUUAACAUAACACACAUAUAACACAUCUCAUAACCGUGCACUAUAUGUGAUGCAAUAAAUCAUCCUAUGUGUGAAAUAAUACGAACAGCAGCUAUGCUAAUUUUUCUCCUUUUGGUUUCCGGUUUCUGUCUCGGGAUGUCCAUCCCAGGGUUACUAGAGAUAACGCCAGUUCCAGUUUGGAUCCAGCCUCACUUGUGAAGACUUCAGAAAAUGCCAACACUCACAAUGACUUCAGAUGAUGACAACUAUAGAUGAACAUACAAAGCUGCCAAAUAUUAUCCUUAUAUUGUAAUCAUUUCACUAAAAGCUCAAUUUAUCAGAAGAGAUCAGAAGCAGAGUUCAGCUGUGUGUCUGUGAAGAGUGAUGUGUCUAUGAUUGAACCAAUGAAGUUUAACAGUGGAGAUUCACAGCCUGAUCUCAGCUCAGUUCAUCAGAAGAGAUCAGAAGCAGAGUUCAGCUGUGUGUCUGUGAAGAGUGACGUGUCUAUGAUUGAACCAAUGAAGUUUAACAGUGGAGAUUCACAGCCUGAUCUCAGCUCAGUUCAUCAGAAGAGAUCAGAAGCAGAGUUCAGCUGUGUGUCUGUGAAGAGUGACGUGUCUAUGAUUGAACCAAUGAAGUUUAACAGUGGAGAUACACAUCCUGAUCUCAGUUCAGUUCAUCAGAAGAGAUCAGAAGCAGAGUCCAGCUGUGUGUCUAUGAAAACUGAUGCAUCUAUGAUUCAACCAAUAAUCUUUAACAGUGGAGAUACACGGCCUGAUCUCAGGUAUAAUAUUUCUGUAAGAGAUAUGAUCUGAACAUGU
rnacentral:lncRNA from 12 species